rnacentral:rRNA from 1 species
UCGAUCCUGGCUCAGAUUGAAUGCUGGCGGGAUGCUUUACACAUGCAAGUCGAACGGCAGCACGGUUUCGGUCUGGUGGCGAGUGGCCGAACGGGUGAUAUGUAUCGGAACGUGCCUAGUAGCAGGGGAAUAACUACGCGAAAGCGUAGCUAAUACCACAUGCGCCCUUCGAGGAAAGCGGGGGACCUUCGGGCCACCUCGCACUAUUAAACGGCCGAUAUCGGAUUAGCUAGUUGGUGGGAAUGGUAGCACGGCUCACCGGGCGACGAUCCGUAGCUGGUUUGAGAGGACGACAACCACACUGGGACUGGACGCCAUUUGGAGGCUCACCGGAACGCGGUGGGAAUUUUUGGACGGCGGAAACCUGAUCCAGCCAUCCCGCGUGUGCGAUGAAGGCCUUCGAGUUUGUAAAGCACUUUUGGCGGAAAGAAACGCGCGGAUAAUACCCCGUGCAACUGACGGUACUGCCUGCAGAAUAAGCACCGGCUAACUACGUGCCAGCAGCCGCGGUAAUACGUAGAGAAGUUGCAAGCGUUAAUCAGAUUACUGGGCGUAAAGCGUGCGCAGGCAGUUCGGAAGAAGAUGUGAAAUCAGAAGCAACACAGUUUCAUUUUUAACUACCGAGCUAGAGUGUGUCAGAGGGGUGGAAUUCCACGCGUGUAGCAGUGAAAUGCGUAGAUAUGCGGAGGAACACCGAUGGCGAAGGCAGCCUCUGAUUAACACUGACGCUCAUGCGAAAGCGUGGGGAGCAAACAGGAUUAGAUACCCUGGUAGAUCCCCGCCUAAACGAUGUCAGCAACCUGUUGAGGCCUUCGGGCCUUGGUAGCGCAGCUAACGCGUGAAGUUGACCGCACAGGGAGAUACGGUCGCAAGAUUAAAAACUCAAAGGAAUUGACGGGGACCCGCACAAGCGGUGGAUGAUGUGGAUUAAUUCGAUGCAACGCGAAAAACCUUACCUACCCUUGACCAUCGGAAUCCCGAAGAGAUUUGGGAGUGCUCGCAAGAGAACCGGAACACAGGUGCUGCAUGGCUGUCGUCAGCUCGUAUUGUCGUGAGAUGUUGGGUUAAGUCCCGCAACGAGCACCAACCCUUGUGUCAUUAGUUGCUACGAAAGGGCACUCUAAUGAGACUGCCGGUGACAAACCGGAGGAAGGUGGGGAUGACGUCAAGUCCUCAUGGCCCAUAUGGGUAGGGCUUCACACGUCAUACAAUGGUCGGGACAGAGGGUCGCCAACCGCGAGGAGCCAAUCCCAGGGAAACCCGAUCGUAGUCCGGAUCGCAGUCUGCAACUCGACUGCGUGAAGUCAGAAUCGCUAGUAAUCGCGGAUCAGCAUGUCGCGGUGAAUACGUUCCCGGGUCUUGUACACACCGCCCGUCACACCAUGGGAGUGGGUUUUGCAAGUAGUUAGCCUAACCGUAAGGAGGGCGAUUACCACGGUAGGAUUCAUGACUGGGGUGAAGUCGUAACAAGGUAA